CACCACUGUUGCCCUCACACAGGUUAACUCGGAAGACAAAGGUGCUUUGGCUAAGCUGGUGGAAGCCAUCAGGACCAAUUACAAGGACAGAUAUGAUAAGAUCUGCCAUCGCUGGGGAGGCAAUGUCCUGGGUUCCCGGGACAUUGUGUCUUGCAUCGUCAAGCUUGAAAAGGCAGAGGCUAAAGAACUUGCCACUAAACUGGGUUAAGUGUACACUGUUGAGUUUUCUGUACAUAAAAAUAAUUAAAACAAUACAAAUUUUCCUUCAAAAAAAAAAAAGAAAUUAACAUAUGCUAAAGCUAUUCUGGAUAUCUUUAGAAAAAACAGGAAAUAGGCCUUAAGAAGUUUAUCAAUUAAGGAACCACAAAUGAAAAAAAAUCGUUUAUUUAAAAAAAUCAAUAUUUGAAUUGCAAUCUGAUGAUUUUUCUAAUAACCUGGAAGAUAAUGGCAAUACAGAGAAGAAACACUUCAUUCAGAAGAUACUCUCUCUCUUUCCUGCUGCCUUAUGAAGAAGGUGCCUGGUUCUCCUUUGCUUUCUGCCAUGAUUGUAAAUUUCCUGAGGCCUCCCCAGCCAUGUGGAACUGUCACCACCCUGGAAAUGAAGAGGCCAAGCUCAUCCCCCACUGCAAAUGGCUUGAAAUUCCUGAGACUCCACCCAUUCCUCCCAGUGCACAGGUGGGCAUUGCUCAGAGAGAAUAG
rnacentral:lncRNA from 1 species